GAUGAACGCUGGCGGCGUGCCUAACACAUGCAAGUCGAACGGAGUUAUGAUGUGAGCGGGAAGUGCUUGCACUAAACAAUCUUUUCAUAACUUAGUGGCGAACGGGUGAGUAACGCGUGAGUAACCUGCCCUAGAGUGGGGGACAACAGUUGGAAACGACUGCUAAUACCGCAUAAGCCCACGGUACCGCAUGGUACUGAGGGAAAGGAUUUAUUCGCUUUAGGAUGGACUCGCGUCCAAUUAGCUAGUUGGUGAGGUAACGGCCCACCAAGGCGACGAUUGGUAGCCGGACUGAGAGGUUGAACGGCCACAUUGGGACUGAGACACGGCCCAGACUCCUACGGGAGGCAGCAGUGGGGGAUAUUGCACAAUGGGGGGAAACCCUGAUGCAGCGACGCCGCGUGGAGGAAGAAGGUUUUCGGAUUGUAAACUCCUGUCGUUAGGGACGAUAAUGACGGUACCUAACAAGAAAGCACCGGCUAACUACGUG
rnacentral:rRNA from 1 species